rnacentral:rRNA from 1 species
CCCUUAGAUGUUCUGGGCUGCACGCGCGCUACACUGAUGCACUCAACGAGUUUACGACCUUGCCCGAUAGGGUUGGGUAAUCUUUUUAAAAUGCAUCGUGAUGGGGAUAGAUUAUUGCAAUUAUUAAUCUUCAACGAGGAAUUCCUAGUAAGCGCGAGUCAUCAGCGCGUGCUGAUUACGUCCCUGCCCUUUGUACACACCGCCCGUCGCUCCUACCGAUUGAGUGCUCAGGUGAAUAAUUCGGACUGCAGCAAUGUUUGGAUCCCGAACGUUGCAGCGGAAAGUUUAGUGAACCUUAUCACUUAGAGGAAGGAGAAGUCGUAACA